UUGCCCAUGAUGAUAUCAGUACACCAAAAUACCAUCUUUCGGGACUGAAUGGCUUUAAAAGCCUUGCUGUUAUUCUGCAAUUCUGAGGCAC